AAGUGAAAGAGGAGCUUGCUAUAGAAAGAAAGUCUAACCUAUUCUGGUGUUCUCUUCUCCGUGAAACAACCCGUUAUAUAGACUUAAACAAU
rnacentral:snoRNA from 1 species